UCCAUGUCAAGAUCUCUGGCAAUCCUGGAACACAACCCUACCCAGCAGAAGUUGACUGGAACUGAGAAGCAGUACCUAUUUCCUGGCACAACAAAAUAUUCCAAACUCCUUUGCUUCUCCCCAAGCUGGAAUCAAGAAGGAGGCUUCAAAGGGCCCUCAGACCUGGGAUCUUUCCGUGGAAUAUGUAGAAACCAAGAUCUGGGAACUAGAAAUUCAUCCCUCAACGCUGGAUUCAGUGUAACUCCGAUUUGCUCUCAUAUGCUUCACCUGAUAGAUCUCAUCUAACUAUCUGCGUCAACAAUUAGCUUGAACUCCUUGGAAGACACGAAUUGGUUAAAUUACAGUUGUAUCCAGUGCAUCUAGCCUAAUGUCCUAAUGCCCAACUAAUUUUGAAAGGAUGAAGGCUGGCUUCAUCGCAGAGCUAAGUAUCAAGAAUUUUGAAUUAGACCCUAAAUACUUUGACCUUCAGUUCUCUCCGUUACUACACUCUACCGGUUCAUUCUAGCGCACGGAGAAACCAUUUAGGACUUAAAUCAAUGAAGUUUAAAAUAAGUUAGGGCUUGGCAUAGAUUUAUCUGCAAUAUGCUGAGUGUCUAUCAGUCUUUUAUUUACAGCAGACAAGGUCAAGAGUACCUCCUCAAG